UACGUAGGGGGCGAGCGUUGUCCGGAUUUAUUGGGCGUAAAGAGCGUGUAGGCGGCCAGGUAGGUCUGCUGUGAAAACUCGAGGCUUAACCUCGAGCUGUCGGCGGAAACCAUCUGGCUAGAGUCCGGAAGAGGAGAAUGGAAUUCCCGGGUGUAGCGGUGAAAUGCGCAGAUAAUCGGGAAGAACACCCGUGGCGAAGCGGUUCUCUGGGACGGUACUGACGCUGAGACGCGAAAGCGUGGGGAGCGAACAGG
rnacentral:rRNA from 1 species